CGCACAUUGCGCCCUUUGGUAUUCCGAGGGGCAUGUCUGUUCGAGCGUCAUUUCAACCCUCAAGCUUCUGCUUGGUAUUGGGCUUUUCGUCCGCCUUAAGGAUGUGCCUGAAACUCAUAGGCGGUUAUACCCAACUCCCUUGCGUAGUUAUUUUUUCUCGCUCUGGGUGAUUUUUUUUUUGGGUGUGACUUGCCUGAGAACCUCUUAUUCUUUUAAAGGUUUGACCUCGGAUCAGAUAGGGAUACCCGCUGAACUUAA
rnacentral:misc_RNA from 1 species